AAGCAGCUUGUUUUAUCUGUGGUUGUUCAGUAUUUGUGGUAGCCCAGUUCCUUUAUUGUGUGUCCUGGCUAAAGAGACUCACCAUGGCCAUGUUGACCGUUCUUCUGCUUCUCAGUGCUGCCUUUGCUCUGGGAGACGCAAUUUCAUCAGAAACCGCUUG